GACGAACGCUGGCGGCGUGCCUAACACAUGCAAGUCGAACGAAGCAUAGCAAUAUGCUUAGUGGCGGACGGGUGAGUAACGCGUGAACAAUCUGCCCUGUACAAAGGAAUAGCCUCGGGAAACCGGGAUUAAAACCGUAUGACACUUUAGUAUCGCAUGAUAAGAAAGUCAAAUCGAAUAGAGGUAUGGGAUGAGUUCGCGUCUGAUUAGCUGGGUUGGCGGGGUAACGGCCCACCAAGGCGACGAUCAGUAGCCGGCCUGAGAGGGUGAACGGCCACACUGGAACUGAGACACGGUCCAGACUCCUACGGGAGGCAGCAGUGGGGAAUAUUGCACAAUGGAGGGAACUCUGAUGCAGCGACGCCGCGUGAGUGAAGAAGGUCUUCGGAUCGUAAAACUCUGUCCUUGGUGAAGAAAAGGACGGUAGCCAAGGAGGAAGCCCCGGCUAACUACGUG
rnacentral:rRNA from 1 species